UCACGGGUUUCAAUGUACGUUUGACUUUAUCUUUCUCUCUCUUUUGCAAACACACAAUAUGUGUGUUAACAAUAUAUUUCAGAUUUCCGAGUCCUUGUCGAUUCGUCAUCUUAAUUCACCGUCUCUCUUUAUUUUAUUUCUUUCUUCAUUUAUAACCAUCACUUGUAUUCUUUAUCUAAUUUCCUCAUAUUCAGUGAUAUACAAUAUAUUCUCUCUGCGCUGUUUAAUCACCAUUUUUAUCUAAAAUGUCUUGUUUAACAAGUUCACUCUCGCCUAAUCAUAUAUAUAAAAACGCAUUCUGAACGUAUGCACUCAAACAAUUCAUCACACAAACACACACACAUAAUUCAUUCACACACUAUACCUCGUCCUUUCUCUGAUGUUAAAUUGCAGAUUCGGAAGCAGUUACAGGGAUGCUGCUUAGAGAAUGUUGUUUGACGCAUAACUUAAGAAGGUAAUUGUUUUGCCUAAACAACCCACUUCAGUAACAUCGCUGUCGCUGAAAAUACAACAAACCGAAUCAGAAAACAAAUAUGCUUCAUAUUCUCUCCAAUAAUACCAGGUUUUUUUAAAAAUAAGAAUCUCAAAGAAAAGCAACUCAUUUAUAUGGUGAUAAUAUUCAAAACUUUGAAGAUAAUUCAAGUUGUCUAUCUUUGUAUAGUCUAACGGAAGAAAUGAAAUGGUGUGGUUGUAAUCUUUGGCAUAAGAGUAAUACCGCUUUACAGAAGAGUUUUCUGACCACCAAACAAACUGUCUGUUACAUAGUGUCCAAUAAACAUUUUGAUAUUUUGAUAAAUUUGUUCUUCCAAGAAUACGCUAUGGAUUAAUUUGUCUUUCAAGCCAAUGUGUAUUUUGAUGAAUAUGCUUUU